CUUUUGGAAAAAUAUCCCUAGCGCCUCUUCAGAAAACAUUUUCAAAGAAAAUGGACCAGAGAGAAUACAGGGAGUACAUGAGGGAGGAACCUCAUUUCCACCCGGAGAAAAACAUCCUGAAUGGGGUAGACGUGCACAAAAAUGGAAGGAUGCGAGGACAGAUGUGGAAAGACGCACACUCGCACGUUCCCUCCCCCACCAUUCAGCAACCCGUGCGCAUGCGCUCAGACAGUGUUUGCUCCGAAAGCGAGGUCCCACCGGUCGGAUCCCCUCCAGUCAUGCCACAUCUUGGAUCCGCCUUUGCCUCACAAAUCUCUCCUUCCUCUACGGGCGGCGGAUUUCUCACAAAAGCAUUUCAAGUGGACACUUCUCACAAAGAAAAACACCUUUACCACGAAUUUGACAUCAAAUGGCAGUAGAAGAAUUACUCUUUGAGUGAUUGUACAUCUUUCCCAUUGAUCUCUUACAUUCUCAUUAAUUGUAAACUCUACAAACGAAUUUCGCCUCCAUACCACAAGUUGCACAUGAUGUGCGUCACAUGACCGCCGACAGCUUCAUGAACUUAUGUGUGAUUUUAAUUACAUGUAUGUGAAUAGUAUACAAUAAUGUCUGAAUUAAAAAUAUGUUCAAUAUA